UAUCUGAUUCUAAGGUUUCUGUUAUUUCCUGCAAAGGAAAACGUAUACUAUUGACUUCAAAUUUGUAGUCAACUCGCUAGUACUAUCUAGCCAUGACCUUAUCCCUAUAUGGAGACGAAACUUGUCACUCUCUCCAAAAGGUCCUUCCUCGCAAUUCCACCCUGCGCUUUCUUUCAAAAUUAUUCUUUCCUUCCAAUUCUUGGGCCCUACGUUCUCCACUUACAUUUUUCUUCUCCCAUCCACAUAGAAAGAGCCGUCCACCAAUGGAACCAACAUCAAUCUUGAGGGCCCAGUCCUCUCUUGUUCUGACUAGUAAAAUCCAAAGCCCUGCUGGUGUACUAAACACACAUAGAUAUCCCCUGAUAAAAAUUGGCGCCAUAUUCCAAGCUUCUUGUGCACGUAACAACAAAUUUCAGGGACUGGAAUGUUAUGAAAUGGCACUAUUUUGUCUUACACUAAGUUCUUAAUCAAAAUAAUUUGCUUAAAAAAAUUUUCCAUUUCUUACCUCUUACCCUUCUACUUCAAUGCCUUCCUCUGCCACUGUAAGCAAUUCUGAAGCAGUGUAACAGGAGAACUUUUUGCUAGAAAUGGGUAAUUCCUUGAGUUGUUGUAGUCGAUAUGCAGAUCGCAUCAGUACUGAAGGUGGUAAUGAUUAAUUGUUCUUAUUUUUUCUUCUUUCUCUAUCUCUCUCCUUCUCCAUUACAUCAAGGGCGUUGCAGAUGUUUGAAAUGAAUACAAACAAUUUUUCCUCGCUAACUAGCUAUGGGAUUUUCUUAAAAUAUAAAAUAGUUGAAUAAUUCAUGUUUUUACAGAUUCAGCUGCUGUGAUAUCUUUUAGCUCGUCCGAGUUAAGUGCAUACACUAAUGGGUUUAGUGCAAAAAAUUUGCUUGGGCAUGGAGGAUUUGGCAGUGUUUAUCUUGGAAACUAUAAUGGUAUGCUAGUAGCUGUCAAGGUCUCUCGCCAAAUAGAUACAAAAACCAGGCUUCAAUGGCAGGUGAGACAUUUCUGUUUGAUCAUUUGCAAUUAAACCUCAUUCAAAAUCAUGCAUUUAUUCCAUUGAAAAACAGAGAAUAGUCUGAGUAAUUUCUUUGACUGCAAAGAAUUCAUUUGAAGAUAGAAAUUAAAGAUAACCAAAUGCAGACACUUACCGCUCACAAACACUUUGAUCUUGUUUUUCUUGCAAUUUCUAGACUGAUUUUCUUUGUUUCAUGCUGUGUUGUGUGCUAUUUUUCAACUCUGCCUUCUUCCUGCCAGCUGAUUGUAAGAAUUUUCUUCAUAAUUGAACACCAUCAACUCUUUAAUUGCACACCAUCAACUCUUUAAUUGCAUUUCUUCUCUUUUCAGUUACAAUAACUGGAACCAAGCCAAAUGACAUAUACAGCUUGGGAGUGAUGAUAUUGCAGCUAAUUAUGAAGGAGAAGGUCGUCUCAUUUCCAGGAUCUAGCGUUCCCUGGCAUAUUACUCACUGGGCGAGCACAAUUCACUCUGCCAAAGGACAUGCAGUUCAUCAAAAAUUAACAACCACUGGGUGCUCCAAAUUGGCUGCAAUUGCAGUUACAAAACUUGGAUUGGACUGUCUCCAUCCUACAAUGUCUGAGCGUCCAAAUAUUGAUGAAGU
rnacentral:misc_RNA from 1 species